CUUAAACACGACUCUCGGUUCCAACCCCUCCACGUCUGCAUCCACAGCCAGGCUUGUUCCGUUCAGCAUGACAUUAGGGUUGAGCGAGAGAGACGCUGCAUUUGCUCGCCUGGAGGUGAGGUGACAACUAUUACUUCGCAGUCGGAUUGACGGCAGUAGAAUAUUGAACAAGCUCAGGAUGACGCGGGAACCGCACCUUCUAAAAUGCUGCAGCACUAGCGAUUCGUAUCGUUCCGUGUCAACGAACUACACUUUCGCUGAGAGGCGCUUAAAUGGAGAAGAGUGGGACUCUCAGUAGCGAGAAUUGACGCUUAUUCAUUGGAAUUUGAUGAAAGGUUGUGGUAGAGGAUGAAGGGAUGGGCCAGAAUUUUUGCACCUUUAGUGUAGGAUGUCGAAACGGCAAGUCGGUGUUACGAUGUGGGAAAACGAGCGUUUUCUUAAUGGGCUUUCUUUCUGUUUCACCUAAGGUCAUUCCUUUCAACGCAUACGUUCCGAUCGCAAAA